AGCAGCCGCCGCGGUAAUACGAAGGGGGCUAGCGUUGUUCGGAAUUACUGGGCGUAAAGCGCACGUAGGCGGAUAUUUAAGUCAGGGGUGAAAUCCCGCAGCUCAACUGCGGAACUGCCUUUGAUACUGGGUAUCUUGAGUAUGGAAGAGGUUAGUGGAAUUGCGAGUGUAGAGGUGAAAUUCGUAGAUAUUCGCAGGAACACCAGUGGCGAAGGCGGCUAACUGGUCCAUAACUGACGCUGAGGUGCGAAAACGUGGGGAGCAAACAGGAUUAGAUACCCCCGUAGUCCCUGUCUCUUAUAC
rnacentral:rRNA from 1 species